CAGCAGCCACGGGAAUACAGAGGGUGCAAGCGUUAAUCGGAAUUACUGGGCGUAAAGCGCGCGUAGGUGGUUCGCCAAGUUGGAUGUGAAAUCCCCGGGCUCAACCUGGGAACUGCAUCCAAAACUGGCGAGCUAGAGUAUGGUAGAGGGUGGUGGAAUUUCCUGUGUAGCGGUGAAAUGCGUAGAUAUAGGAAGGAACAUCAGUGGCGAAGGCGACCACCUGGACUGAUACUGACACUGAGGUGCGAAAGCGUGGGGAGCAAACAGGAUUAGAUACCCCCGUAGUCCCUGUCUCUUAUAC
rnacentral:rRNA from 1 species